rnacentral:rRNA from 1 species
UUCUUGCAGACUCUUUUUCCGCGGUAUUUGUGUGUGCUGGCCACACAAAAACCACCGUCUACACAGGGCGGGGUGGUUGAGCGCGCAAAAUAACAAAAUACUGGUUCUUCUAGGGUAGCGUAGUUAGGCCACCGAUUAGAGUUUGAUCAUGGCUCAGGAUGAACGCUAGCGGCAGGCUUAACACAUGCAAGUCGAGGGGUAACAGGGCGUAGCAAUACGCCGCUGACGACCGGCGCACGGGUGCGUAACGCGUAUACAACCUACCUGUAACAGGGGGAUAACGGAGUGAAAACUAAUCACUGCCGUCGAACCCCUA